GAAGUAAUAUCUGGACUUUGAAAUUGUUUCCUUAAUGACAACAAAAAAGGGAGUAAUCCUACCCACUGUAAGAGUCAUGACUCUUGAUUGCAGCUGACAGAAACUCAUGACAGCCUGCUUUAGAUGAAGGGGGAGAGAAGGACUGGAAGAAUCUUGGAGUUGGGAAUGUCACACGUAAUUGAAGGAAGAACAAGAAAACUAUAGCAGCUGCUCCCAACCCCAGAACCUUUGCUGUCUUGGGACGGAUCACCGCUGCAAGAGGGGAAGUUGCUACUGUGAUGAAUUCUGCCAUGUGGCACCAGACUGCCACCCAGACCACAGUGUCCUCUGCAACCCUGGUAACUCACAUACAGGCCCGAUUCCACCUACAGCAAAGCUGGAUGCGAUGGCUGGCAGAGGCAAACCCUUUGCCUGCACUUCAGGCCAAAGCCGGGAUGUGGCCUAGAUGGUUCCUAAGGUCCCUGACAAUCCUGAGAUCUUGCAUCUUGUCUAUUUCAGGUCAAAGGUGCCUACAUGCUCCUUCUAGCUUUGUUUCCCUGAUGUUCCUUGCCACCUGCUACUCCUCUCUGAGCUACUUUUCCAGGUUCCACAGGGAGAGGUUCAGCUGUCCGUGGUAGACAUGAGGGUAGAGAAUGAGGUGGUUGGGUUCCACUUACCUUUCUAUCAUCUUGCAGUAUGGAUGUCUCUUGACUGGUACCGUGUAGACUUUUGAGGGCACACAGGAGUCUGCAGAGAGAUACUGGGGACAUUGAGCAGCAGCAGUGGGGUUGGG
ensembl:lncRNA MUC20-OT1 MUC20 overlapping transcript